UACGAAGGGUGCAAGCGUUAAUCGGAAUUACUGGGCGUAAAGCGUGCGCAGGCGGUUUUGUAAGCCAGAUGCGAAAUCCCCGGGCUUAACCUGGGAAUGGCAUUUGGGACUGCAAGGCUGGAGUGCGGCAGAGGAGACUGGAAUUCCUGGUGUAGCAGUGAAAUGCGUAGAUAUCAGGAGGAAUACCGAUGGCGAAGGCGGCUCACUGGCCCGAUACUGACGCUGAGGCACGAAAGCGUGGGGAGCAAACAGG
rnacentral:rRNA from 1 species